rnacentral:ncRNA from 1 species
CAUAUAGUUAAUAAAACUCGUAUAUAAUCGGUAAUAUGGUCCGGAAGUUUCUACCUGCAAGCCGUAAAUUUGCAGACUACGAGGAGUUGUAAUUC